AACGAACGCUGGCGGCAUGCCUAACACAUGCAAGUCGAACGGGACCAUCGGGUCUAGUGGCGCACGGGUGCGUAACGCGGGGGAAUCUGCCCUUGGGUUCGGAAUAACAGUUGGAAACGACUGCUCAUAUCGGAUGAGGACGUAAGUCCAAAGAUUUAUCGCCCAGGGAUGAGCCCGCGUAGGAUUAGCUAGUUGGUGGGGUAAAGGCCUACCAAGGCGACGAUCCUUAGCUGGGCUGAGAGGCUGAUCAGCCACACUGGGACUGAGACACGGCCCAGACUCCUACGGGAGGCAGCAGUGGGGAAUAUUGGACAAUGGGGGAAAGCAUGAUCCAGCAAGGCCGCGUGAGUGCUGAAGGCGGUAGGGUAGUAAAGCUCUUUUACCCGGGAUGAUAAUGACAGUACCGGGAGAAGAAGCACCGGCUAACUCCGUG
rnacentral:rRNA from 1 species